UACGUAGGGGGCAAGCGUUUGUCCGGAUUUAUUGGGCGUAAAGAGCGUGUAGGCGGCCGUACAGGUCAGCUGUGAAAACUCGAGGCUCAACCUCGAGACGUCGGUUGAAACCGUACGGCUAGAGUCCGGAAGAGGAGAGUGGAAUUCCCGGUGUAGCGGUGAAAUGCGCAGAUAGUCGGGAAGAACACCCGUGGCGAAGGCGGGUCUCUGG
rnacentral:rRNA from 1 species